UGAAUAGUGUCGUAUUCGUGAAUAGUGCCGUAUACGUGAACAAUACCGUAUACGUGAAUAGUAACCCCGACACUAAAAGACAAGAAUUUCACAAGAAAAAUCUUAACAAUAUUUCGGUAUAAUGAUAUUGAAAGAAAUAAUAUCAUUUAUAAAAACAAUAACAUCCCUUACCUCAGAAAGAAUAGUACUUCUACCUGGAAUAUCAGAUAUAAUGCUGAAGAAACUUGCACCGUAUAGCAACACUCAAAGUAUUAAAAUACUGACAAGAAUACGCUCGAUAAUAUAGAGAGAAGAUUUCAGUUUUUGGUGUGAUUUUCAAAUUUUAACCUAAGCACCCUAUUUAUAGGAAAUUGCUUAGAACACCAAAGCAGAAAAUUUAAUAAAAUAUUAAUAUAUUUUUUAUAAAUUCCUACGCACACCAAAGACAUCUGAUAUCAACCAUUAACAUGUGCAAGUGGG
rnacentral:lncRNA from 1 species